AUUGAACGCUGGCGGAAUGCUUUACACAUGCAAGUCGAACGGCAGCACGGGGGCAGCCCUGGUGGCGAGUGGCGAACGGGUGAGUAGUACAUCGGAACGUGCCCGGUCGUGGGGGAUAACGUAGCGAAAGUUACGCUAAUACCGCAUACGAUCUGAGGAUGAAAGCGGGGGACCUUCGGGCCUCGCGCGAUCGGAGCGGCCGAUGUCAGAUUAGGUAGUUGGUGGGGUAAAGGCCUACCAAGCCGACGAUCUGUAGCUGGUCUGAGAGGACGACCAGCCACACUGGGACUGAGACACGGCCCAGACUCCUACGGGAGGCAGCAGUGGGGAAUUUUGGACAAUGGGCGCAAGCCUGAUCCAGCCAUUCCGCGUGCAGGACGAAGGCCUUCGGGUUGUAAACUGCUUUUGUACGGAACGAAAAGGCUCUGGCUAAUACCUGGAGCUCAUGACGGUACCGUAAUAAUAAGCACCGGCUAACUACGUG
rnacentral:rRNA from 1 species